GACGAACGCUGGCGGCGUGCCUAAUACAUGCAAGUCGAGCGGACAGAAGGGAGCUUGCUCCCGGAAGUUAGCGGCGGACGGGUGAGUAACACGUGGGCAACCUACCCUGUAGAUCGGGAUAACAUCGAGGAAUCGGUGCUAAUACCGGAUAAUCAUUUGAAGUGCAUGCUUCGAAUGUAAAAGAUGGCUCCGGCUAUCACUACGGGAUGGGCCCGCGGCGCAUUAGCUGGUUGGUAAGGUAAUGGCUUACCAAGGCAACGAUGCGUAGCCGACCUGGGAGGGUGAUCGGCCACACUGGGACUGAGACACGGCCCAGACUCCUACGGGAGGCAGCAGUAGGGAAUCUUCCGCAAUGGACGAAAGUCUGACGGAGCAACGCCGCGUGAGUGAUGAAGGUUUUCGGAUCGUAAAGCUCUGUUGUUAGGGAAGAACAAGUGCCGUUUGAAUAAGGCGGCACCUUGACGGUACCUAACCAGAAAGCCACGGCUAACUACGUGCCAGCCGCCGCCGUAAUAC
rnacentral:rRNA from 1 species